rnacentral:rRNA from 1 species
AUUGAACGCUGGCGGCAGGCCUAACACAUGCAAGUCGAACGAGUGGCGGACGGGUGAGUAAUGUCUGGGAAACUGCCUGAUGGAGGGGGAUAACUACUGGAAACGGUAGCUAAUACCGCAUACCAUCAGAUGUGCCCAGAUGGGAUUAGCUGGUUGGUGGGGUAACGGCUCACCAAGGCGACGAUCCCUAGCUGGUCUGAGAGGAUGACAUGCCACUCUGAAACGGUGACACGAUCCAGACUCCUACGGGAGGCAGCAGUGGGGAAUUUGGCACAAUGGGCGCAAGCCUGAAGCAGGCAUGCAGCUUAUAUGAAGAAGGCCUUCGGGUUGUAAAGUGCUUUCAACGGGGAGGCGUUACCCGCAGAAGAAGCACCUGCUAACUCCGUGCCAGCAGCCGCGGUAAUUC